GGGCGGAUGGUUUAGUGGUAUAAUUUUCCCUUAGCAUCAUGCAAAUUACCUGGGAAAGGUCCGGGGUUCGAUUCCCCGUUCGUCCA